GACGAACGCUGGCGGCGUGCUUAACACAUGCAAGUCGAACGGAAAGGCCCUGCUUUUGUGGGGUGCUCGAGUGGCGAACGGGUGAGUAACACGUGAGUAACCUGCCCUUGACUUUGGGAUAACUUCAGGAAACUAAGCCUAAUACCGGAUAGGAGCUCCUGCAGCAUGGUGGGGGUUGGAAAGUUUCGGCGGGUGGGGAUGGACUCGCGGCUUAUCAGCUUGUUGGUGGGGUAGUGGCUUACCAAGGCUUUGACGGGUAGCCGGCCGGAGAGGGUGACCGGCCACAUUGGGACUGCGAUACGGCCCAGACGGAUACGGUAGGCAGCAGUGGGGAAUAUUGCCCAACGGGCGGAAGCCUGAUGCAGCAACGCCGCGGGCGGGAUGACGGCCUUCGGGUUGUAAAACGCUUUCGCCUGUGACGAAGCGUGAGUGACGGUAAUGGGUAAAGAAGCACCGGCUAACUACGUG
rnacentral:rRNA from 1 species